rnacentral:rRNA from 1 species
GACGAACGCUGGCGGCGUGCUUAACACAUGCAAGUCGAACGGAAAGGCCCUGCUUUUGUGGGGUGCUCGAGUGGCGAACAGGUGAGUAACACGUGAGUAACCUGCCCUUGACUUUGGGAUAACUUCAGGAAACUGGGGCUAAUACCGGAUAGGAGCUCCUGCUGCAUGGUGGGGGUUGGAAAGUUUCGGCGGUUGGGGAUGGACUCGCGGCUUAUCAGCUUGUUGGUGGGGUAGUGGCUUACCAAGGCUUUGACGGGUAGCCGGCCUGAGAGGGUGACCGGCCACAUUGGGACUGAGAUACGGCCCAGACUCCUACGGGAGGCAGCAGUGGGGAAUAUUGCACAAUGGGCGGAAGCCUGAUGCAGCAACGCCGCGUGCGGGAUGACGGCCUUCGGGUUGUAAACCGCUUUCGCCUGUGACGAAGCGUGAGUGACGGUAAUGGGUAAAGAAGCACCGGCUAUCUACGUG